rnacentral:misc_RNA from 1 species
GAAGUGCGAUAAGCAAUGCGAAUUGCAGAACCGUGAGUCAUCAGAUUUUUGAACGUAACUGACACUAGAGGGUAUUCCCUGUAGUAUGCUUCUUUCAGUGUGUGUUUUUCUCCUCACCCAAACCAUAAUGCGAUAGAUGCCCUUCUAUUGCUAAACAUGCAAGCACUCUACGCUUUGCAGUGGCUUCGGCCACACUCAAUGCAGCAGUCACAUUCUCCAAUGUGAACUCAUUGAGCGUGAAGGUAGUGCAGCUAGUCUGCCAGUGCUUAGACACCCAAAUUUUCAAAGCAUCUGAGAUGAAGUAGGACCACCCGCUGAACUUAA